AUUGAACGCUGGCGGCAUGCUUUACACAUGCAAGUCGAACGGCAGCACGGUCUUCGGCCUGGUGGCGAGUGGCGAACGGGUGAGUAAUAUAUCGGAACGUACCCACUAUUGGGGGAUAACGUAGCGAAAGUUACGCUAAUACCUCAUCCUAUUUAUUGAUGAAAUCUGGGGACCGCAAUGCCUUGUGCUCCUGGAGCCUCCGAUCUCUGAUUCGCUAGUUUGUGAGGUAAAGGCUCACCAAGGCGACGAUCAGUAGCUGAUCUGAGAGGAGGACCAGCCACACGGGAAGUGAGACACGGUCCAGACGCCUAAGGGAGGCAGCAGUGGGGAAUGUUGGACAAUGGGCGCAAGCCUGAUACAGCAAUGCCGCGUGAGUGAAGAAGGCCUUCGGGUUGUAAAGAUCUUUUGUGAGGGAAGAAACGGUAGAGGCUAAUAUCCUUUGUUAAUGACGGUACCUGAAGAAUAAGCACCGGCUAACUACGUG
rnacentral:rRNA from 1 species